AUGGACCCCGCCCGCUCCCCCAGCGUUUUCCCGCUGCUCUCCUGCGACGGCGACUGCGAGGACCAGGUGAGCUUCGGCUGCCUGGCCGACGGCUUCUUCCCGCAGCCCGCCCAGAUCACCUGGGUGGGCGUGGCCUCGGACGCCGCCCGGAACUUUCCGGAAGUCCAGACGGGCAGCGGCCGCUACGGGCUGAGCUCCCAGGUGACCACGAGCGCAGACAAGGCCAAGGAGGGGGACUUCCGGUGCCAGGUGGAGCAUUAUGGGAAGAAUGUGGAGCUGGAGAUCACGGGAGACUCCCUGUGCCGCAACCACACCCCGAACUUCUCCGUGUCCCUCCUGAGCGACCCCAACCAAUCCCACCCCGAGGACCCCGAGGUCCACCUGCUGUGCCAGGUGCGUGGGCAUGGCGCCGGCGACGCCCAUCUCACGUGGUUGGUCAACGGUGACGUCGCCCAGAUUGGGGAGAAGCCCUCCAGCUGCGAAGAGGGCGGGGCCGGCCAGGUGACGCUGAGCGGCCGCGCCAACGUCAGCCGGGAAUUGUGGGAGUUGGGCGCCACCUUCACCUGCCAGGUUAGCCACGCCCACCUGGACACGCCCCUGCAGGCCAACAUCAGCACCUUCUGUAAAUCUCCCGUCCCCACGCCCUCGGUGUCGGUGCUGCCGCCCUCCCUGCAAGACCUCUACCUGUCCACCAGCCCCAACCUCACCUGCGUGGCCACCAACCUGAAAUCGCCGCAGGCCAAAUUCACCUGGAGCCGCUCCCCGCCCGGGGGCGGGGCCUCGGUGGGCGUGGCCACUUCCGGCCCCGCCCUCCGCCUGCCCAACGGCUUCUACGAGCUCCGGAACUUUCUGGGGAUCUGCGCCGAGGACUGGAACUCCGGGGACACCUUCACCUGCGCCGUGGCCGUGGAGGAGCUGGGGCCCGAGCCGCUGACGGCCAGCGCCAGGAAGGACACAGGCGGCACCGCCGUGGCCCCCAAGGUCUUCGUCUUCCCGCCGCCGCCCGAGGAUCUGGCGCUGGGCGAGUCGGCCAUCUUGACCUGCCUGGCCAGCGGCUUCUUCCCGCGCGACGUCCUGGUGGCCUGGACGCACCAGGACCGGCCGGUGGCGCCGGACCGCUUCUCGGUGCUGGGCCCGGAGCCGGACGCCGGCGGUUCCGGAAGGUUCUCGGUCUACUCCAAGAUGGCGGCCGGGGCGGAGGAGUGGCGGCGCGGCGACGUCUUCGCCUGCGUGGUGGGGCACGAGGGCGUGGCCAUGAAGUUCAUCCAGAGGAGUUUGGACAAAUCCAUGACGAGGCCGGCCAACGUCAACGUUUCCGUCAUCUUGGCCGACUCUGACACCGUUUGUUAUUAAAUUUUGGGUGAAAUAAACGAAAUUUCAGGAA